rnacentral:tRNA from 1 species
GUUGUAGCUCAGUGGUAGAGCACUUGCCUAGCAUGCGUGAAGCACUAGGUUCAAUCCUCAGCACCACA